rnacentral:tRNA from 8 species
GGCGGCAUAGCCAAGUGGUAAGGCCAGGGUCUGCAAAACCCUUAUUCACCGGUUCAAAUCCGGUUGCCGCCUCCA